rnacentral:rRNA from 1 species
UGGUGGAGUGAUUUGUCUGGUUAAUUCCGAUAACGAACGAGACCUUAACCUGCUAAAUAGCCCAGUCGACUAUGGUUGGCUGCUGGCUUCUUAGAGGGACUAUUGGCGUUUAGCCAAUGGAAGUUUGAGGCAAUAACA